GGCUAGUAUCGCGAGAUCAGGAAGGUGGCCGAGUGUGUCGCCGCGGCCAUCAGGCACUUCUCCUUCCUGCCCUUGUAUGAAGAAGGAUGUGUUUGCUUCCCCUUGUGCCAUGAUUGUAAAUUUCCUGAGGCCUCCUCAGCCCUGCAGAACUGGCUAGAGCAAUGUAUCUUAGGCUCACUUAAGGAAGCUGUAGAGAUGAGCCCAAGGAGGGAAACCAGAAGAGCCCCCCAGGCUCACCAGUUGUUUGUUGGCUCCCUACAAACAUGUCAUUCAAGUGGCUAAUCUUACAACAGCACAAAUUCAUCUAACCAGAGAUACUCUAUUAUAGCAAAGAAGAAAGAUAAUUUCAUUGAGCCAUCCUGUUUUACAGGAAAUUCUGCAAGUGGCAACGUGGGUCCAUUCCGUGUGUGUCACUAGAGCUGGCGCAAGCCCAUGGCCAUGGUGAGGCAGCGUUUCCACUGGAACUAAUCUGAUACCUGCACCAGCUCUUGCAACUGUGCAGUGUUCCCACUGCAAACUACGGAUGGGGAUUUUCCCUCCUGGUGAGUCAAAAUGAACAAGAAAUACCCCAGGACCUCCCUUCCCUCCUUGGCCAUUAAUGAGAUGAAGGCAAUUAACUCACAUAGUAUAAAUGAAUCAUUUGAGGUGAUGACUGCAUUUUAGGCAAAUGAUGACUUUCUUGGUUCCAUUGGUUUGCAAGUAAAAGUUACACACAUUGAAAAGACACUGAAACAGAUUUCCUAAAUGCUUCAUUUUCUGGAUGCACCAAUGUUGACCUACUAUACAUGUUAAAUGGUUUUAAAAUAUCACCUUAAAAUAAAGGAAACUUCCAGCUACUAACUCAGCUCUGAAUGGGCUAUGAAAGGCUCCAAAGGUAUGUGAAAAAUUACUGUUAUUUUGCUUUAAAAAAUGUGAUGUCUAAGAGUGUCUGCAAUGUUCUAAUGCUUCAAAACAUGUACGUAAGCCUUGUUUAUCUGGAAAUCAUUUCUUUCUGCUUAUAUCAUUUAUAAAUAGAAAAUGUUCUGUAAUAACUUAAAAUAGUUCCACAUACAUAAUGCUUUUAGUGUCAUAAUACUUACUACUGGUCUAUAUUUACCAACAUUUAUCACAUUUUACAAAAUGAAGUAGAAGAAAAAAAAGACAACGACUUUAUGGCCCUGGAAUUCCAGUAAUGGUGACCAACAUGUUUUAAAUUCCAGUAAAGGUUAUGGUUACAUUUCAACAA
rnacentral:lncRNA from 1 species